rnacentral:lncRNA from 1 species
AAUCUUUAGUUGUCUAAAUUUAUACAAGUGGUCUACAUAUAGAUUUUGCAAUUUCAUUUCCGUACGAGAUGUAUUAAUAAAAAUAUAUUAAGGGAUAUCUUAAAUUAAUAACACACAUACAUUAUAAUAUUAUACGCACUAAUUAUAUAGGAUGUCAAGAAAAAAAAAAAAAAAAAGAUCAUGUCAACGACUUGGGUGGCUAUUAUAACGAGCUUUUACCUCUUGUGCUUAUUACUAUAUAUAUAUCCUAACUUAGAAUCAGUAACUAAAAUAUAUACAGUGCUAAAAACUUUCAUUAAUGUUC